rnacentral:lncRNA from 1 species
AUUACAAAAAUAUAAGCUGUAUGUGUCAGGACAACUUCAGAUGGUGAAACCUCAGGUUCUGGUCCAUACUGUAGCCAUUAACUUCAAUGUCAUCUAAAGGUGUUGGACCAGUGAUGGUGUAGUAGAAUUAUGUGAGUUUUGAUCACAAAAACGUUAAGGCCUACUGUUCUUGGUAUAUUACAAAGACACAAUUCUCACAUUAUUUCUGGUAUAUUUUUGUUAGAUCAAUCGGAGGAGAGAUCAUUAUCAGGAAAGAUGUCUGAAUUAGAUUAAAAGCAACAACUGAGAUUCCAUGUUUGCAAAGAGAGGCUGUAUGGAGUUGAGCGGUCCACAGAUCCCAGAGCAGCAUUUAACUCAACAAAAGCUCAAACACUCAAAGGCUUCAGAGAGUGCGUUGGACAACCAAGAAUAGUAGGACCAGCUGGGAUCAAGUUGGAGGACUUAUAACUGAUAAAAUAUGGACUGACAAUGGCAACAUUUCAGCAGGGGCGGACCGGCUAUAUGUCUGUUCUGGAAGAGCACAGAACAGGUGGGGGGGGCCAUCUCGCCCAGCCCUGCAGUUGCACAGCGGAGAAACAGAAAGAAGUAGAGAAACUGCAAGCUCGUUGUGUGACUACUCUGCAGUCAUCUGAUGACCUAAUAGAGACUUGGGAAGAGUGUACGAAGCAGGCAGUCAGAGGUGUAAAAACACUGUUUACUAGUGGCAGCAGGGCGCCACUGACACCAAAACUACAGCACAAGAAAAGAAGAUGCAGCUGUUGAUCCAGGGCACAUUAGCAUAUCAGACACUGCACAGGGACAGUCAGAAGAACAUGUGGAAGUUCUACCUCAGAUGAUCUCUAUGUAGAGAGCAAACGGUGAGCAACGAUGUAAGCCACACACACAGCAGGGCUUGAUUAAAAUAAAUUGAAGGGAGUUGUUAGCUAUAAGAUUUCCAAACACAACAUACUUAAAACCAGGUCAUUAUACCAUCUGGUUUUGCAGUAUGGCAUGUUUCCAUGUAGCCAUUUGAUUUGUGUAAAACAUUGUGUCUGAGAGGAUAUGAAGGUGCAAUUAGUUUGAAACUAUUUAAAAACAUAAUUUUGGUAUUUUAUUUAUUUAACAGCUCUGUUGUUGUUAAUUAGUGACACACCAAUUGCGGAAUGAAGAUUUUCAUAAAUUGAUGUUCAAAAUGCCUUAAUGAAAGCUCACAAUUAUGCUAAUUUGGGCCUGGCUACUCAUAGUUUCACACUUUAUUAUUUAUUUUAAUAUUUGAACAGAAAUAUACGUAUCAUGCAGUUUUUUGAAGAUACAUGUUGCUAUUACUGACUAUGGACCAGCAUAUUCGCUGCUCACAAAAUGUGUCCUUUGGAGUAUUUGAAUGGAGUUUAAUGGGAUUUAGCAGCUGCAGAUUAGUGUCAGUGUCUGCACACCUCAGACAAUUUUCUAUUUUGAAAGAUUUUAGUCAUAAGGUUCAGAUUUUUGUAUAUUGUACGUUGUGUUCUGCUUUUUUUGGUAGUAUUUGUUUUGUAAAUGUAGAAAUGUCUGUGAAGACACAAUUCCAU